GGCAGAAUAGAAAUUUCAUUCUUAUAAAAGUUUAUCAAAAGUCAGUUGUGUUUUUUUACUUUGUGACUCAAUGAAUUGAUACUGAUGUGGAUGUGUCAGUCUUCAUGACCACCGAGCAUCACUAUUGCUAAAACAGCACCAGAUAAAAUGAAAUAGUGUGUAGCAUAUAUAUAAAUAAAUAAAAAACAGAUUAACCAAAAAGAACUUUCUCUUUUCCAUCUCAGUAUCACACAAUUUUAAGGCCCAAUGAAGUUUUCUUGCCAAUCUAAAAGGCUUCCAACCGAUGACAAAUGCUUUUGAACAGUAAAUUUAAAGUGCAUGGAAACCAUAGAACAGGAAGCCAGGAACCAGAGAACACAGCACACAGCUCCUGAGCUGUUCCUUGGAUCUCUGACUUUGGGCAGUUCUAGCAAGCAGCCGUCCUGAUGGCCACUGCCUGAGCCCAGAGUGAUGGAUGGAGAGUGAGGCAGACACCAGCAUCCCUGCUGACAAGUAUUUGUUCCAGUCUGCAGCUCCCGUAGCUUGCAAGAACUUUGUUUCAAAGACGUCCGCUAUUGAUCACUGUCAAGACGAAGACAGGAGCCGGCUGGACCUUUAUCUGACCCAGCACAGUCAUCCUUGUGUUUGGGCAUCAUACAGCUCAAGCCUUGGACAUUAGCCCCGGUACAGCCAAGUAACAGCUGCUGCAUUUUGCCCUGUCUUCGGGAUCAAGCUCACUCUUUCCUAGAGUGCUUCAGGACAAUAUGGUUUAAACUGCUCCCAACACACUCACUGACUUCAGCUGAAAGGAAGGGUAUUUGACUAUCUCAAAGGAUGCCCAUGACUCCUCCUAGCUCAAAGCUAAGGGAGACUGGCUUCUAUGUUUUAUAGGAUUUGUUUCUCUGCUCCUGCCAUGUCAAGGAAGCUGUAGGAUCAACAUCUCAUCCUGUCAGCUCCAUCUCUGGUAAAGAUCUUACAUUAAUUUAGUGUAGAGGUGACACUGGUGAAUAAGAGAAUAAAAUGAGACUUUGAAUCCUUCUUUCCGGAAGGCUAAUGGUAAAAAAUUGGUAGCAAUGCAACUAUGGCACCUUUCCAACUCUAACACUUAGAGCAUUGCCUACGACCAUGUCCCCAGACAUACUUUGUCAUUCACGAUGGCUCAGUACGAAAGAUAAAUAAAACAGAAGUUGCCAGCAAUACUGGCACUCAGCUGCUUUGACUUUUUUCCUUCCCUGCCAACAAAACAAAUAGUGAAAUAGUAGAACUGCAAUUCAGGUGAUAACACCCAUGAUUUAGAAAUUUAGUGGAGGCUGGUGGUGUGAUGAGCUUCCUCAAGAAGAUAACUCAAUGAAAGAGUGCAAGUAGUAACAAGAUGGAGAAUACAUUGAGUGAAAUUAAUAUAAUUAUAUGCUGUGUUUUUGUUUGUUUUUGUCAUCUAACUGAAAAAUAAAGGUAUCCAGGGAAAAAAGAAAUAAGUAUUAAUGUGAUGAAGUAAAAAGUAAAAUGCUAAAAUCUGCACAAGUCUUGCUGCUAUUGCUGCAUAAGAGUAAAUAAUUUCUGAAAAUGAUAUCCAGAUACACAGUGGAAAUAUUUCCCUUUUGAAAUAAAAUGUGCAUCUUGAAGAAAAAAAUCUGC
ensembl:lncRNA